rnacentral:rRNA from 1 species
GUGUCAGCCGCCGCGGUAAUACGUAGGGUGCAGGCGUUAAUCGGAAUUACUGGGCGUAAAGCGUGCGCAGGCGGCUACUCAAGUCAGAUGUGAAAUCCCCGGGCUUAACCUGGGAACUGCGUUUGAAACUGGGUGGCUAGAGUGCGGCAGAGGGGGGUGGAAUUCCACGUGUAGCAGUGAAAUGCGUAGAUAUGUGGAGGAACACCGAUGGCGAAGGCAGCCCCCUGGGCCUGCACUGACGCUCAUGCACGAAAGCGUGGGGAGCAAACAGGAUUAGAAACCCCGGUAGUCC